GACGGACGCUGGCGGCGUGCUUAACACAUGCAAGUCGAACGGAAAGGCCUGCUUUCCCUUGUGGAUUGCGGGUACUCGGGUGGCGAACGGGUGAGUAACACGUGAGUGAUCUGCCCCCAACUUGGGUAUAAGCCUGGGAAACUGGGUCUAAUUCCCGAUAGGACUGCAGGGUGGUGCCUGUGGUGGAAAACGAUUUUCUAGUGGUUGGGGAUGAGCUCGCGGCCUAUCAGCUUGUUGGUGGGGUAAUGGCCUACCAAGGCGGCGACGGGUAGCCGGCCUGAGAGGGUGGACGGCCACAUUGGGACUGAGAUACGGCCCAGACUCCUACGGGAGGCAGCAGUGGGGAAUAUUGCACAAUGGGCGGAAGCCUGAUGCAGCGACGCCGCGUGGGGGAUGACGGCCUUCGGGUUGUAAACUCCUUUCGACCGCGAGGAAGCCACCUGGUUGGAAGGGUGGUGACGGUAGUGGUAGAAGAAGCACCGGCUAACUACGUG
rnacentral:rRNA from 1 species